UACAGAGGUCCCGAGCGUUGUUCGGAUUCAUUGGGCGUAAAGGGUGCGUAGGCGGUCUGCUAAGUUUGAUGUGAAAUCCCGGGGCUCAACCCUGGAAUUGCAUUGAAUACUGGUGGACUAGAGUACUGGAGAGGAAACUGGAAUUUACGGUGUAGCAGUGAAAUGCGUAGAGAUCGGGAAGAACAUCGGUGGCGAAGGCGCUCUACUGGACCACAACUGACACUCAGGGACGAAAGCUAGGGGAGCGAAUGGG
rnacentral:rRNA from 1 species